rnacentral:rRNA from 1 species
UACGGGGGGGGCAAGCGUUGUUCGGAAUUACUGGGCGUAAAGGGCUCGUAGGUGGCCAACUAAGUCAGACGUGAAAUCCCUCGGCUUAACCGGGGAACUGCGUCUGAUACUGGAUGGCUUGAGUUUGGGAGAGGGACGCGGAAUUCCAGGUGUAGCGGUGAAAUGCGUAGAUAUCUGGAGGAACACCGGUGGCGAAGGCGGCGAUCCUGGACCGGUAUUGACGCUGAGGCGCGAAAGCCAGGGAGCAAACGGG